CGGGUGAGUAACACGUGGAUAACCUACCUAUAAGACUGGGAUGACUUCGGGAAACCGGAGCUAAUACCGGAUAAUAUAUUGAACCGCAUGGUUCAAUAGUGAAAGACGGUUUUGCUGUCACUUAUAGAUGGAUCCGCGCCGCAUUAGCUAGUUGGUAAGGUAACGGCUUACCAAGGCGACGAUGCGUAGCCGACCUGAGAGGGUGAUCGGCCACACUGGAACUGAGACACGGUCCAG
rnacentral:rRNA from 1 species